ACACCCCAGAAGGACAAAAGUCGUCUAAAAGCCAUUCAUUUUUCAACGCUAUUGGACAGAACAAUUCAUCCCCGUUUCUCUAUUGGAUCGAGCAGAACGCCGAAGAAAAAUCGUCUCUGAUUGUCGACGGCGAGCAUUUGGGUUUUAGGAAUCGAUAACUUCCAGCUAUUAACAAACCGCCCAUUUUCGAGUAGUAGUUAACGGUCGACGGCGAGCACUUGGGACUUCAGAUCGACGACUUCCAACUAUUGUAAGGGCUUUUCUCCAUUAUUGUCGUGUUUAGAGUUUCUGCGUGUUUCAGUUUCGAAAUUAAUGUCGGGACAAAGCUCCGUUUCUGGUUUGUGUUCUGAGUUUGAAAUUGUGUCAGCACAUUUUUAUUCAUAUUCAUUUAUCUUUUCAUGAAGAGUAGUAACCCCAAAAUUUGUGAAGGUAGAAUCCAGUAAUUUGAUAAGUUUGAAAUCUAAAAUACCCAUGGUGUAAAAAUUAGCAACACAUUUAACAUGAAACAAAAUUGCUAUAACUGGAGAUAUUUGGCAUAUAAAUUGUAAAACCAAAGUCUUCAGUUGGCUUUAUUUUAUUUAUUUGUCUUAGCCUACCUCAAGUUGAUGCAUUUCCACCAAAUCUAAAGAAGCUGACGAUUUCAAGCACCCUACUUGAUUGGGAUCACUGUCUACUCUAGGAAUGUUGGAAAAUCUUGAGAUCCGUCAGUUGAAAGAUGAUGCAUUUAAGGGAGACCGAUGGCAGACAGAGAAGGGAGGAUUCCGUAAUCUCAAAUUCUUGUAUAUUGGAAUACUGAUUUUGUAUUUUGGGAGACACUUAGUUUUGUUUUUGUAAUUGAACUAGGACCGACUGAUCUUGUUAUUUGGUGCAAGUUGCAUCGUGAUUAACUGUAUUUAUGGUUUCUAUUAAUGAAAAGGCUUUUCAUAUUACAUUUGAACA